GACGAACGCUGGCGGCGUGCCUAAUACAUGCAAGUAGAACGCUGAAGGAGGAGCUUGCUCUUCUGGAUGAGUUGCGAACGGGUGAGUAACGCGUAGGUAACCUGCCUGGUAGCGGGGGAUAACUAUUGGAGACGAUAGCUAAUACCGCAUAACAGUAGAUGUUGCAUGACAUUUGCUUAAAAGGUGCAAUUGCAUCACUACCAGAUGGACCUGCGUUGUAUUAGCUAGUUGGUGGGGUAACGGCUCACCAAGGCGACGAUACAUAGCCGACCUGAGAGGGGGAUCGGCCACACUGGGACUGAGACACGGCCCAGACUCCUACGGGAGGCAGCAGUAGGGAAUCUUCGGCAAUGGACGGAAGUCUGACCGAGCAACGCCGCGUGAGUGAAGAAGGUUUUCGGAUCGUAAAGCUCUGUUGUAAGAGAAGAACGAGUGUGAGAGUGGAAAGUUCACACUGUGACGGUAUCUGACCAGAAAGGGACGGCUAACUACGUG
rnacentral:rRNA from 1 species